rnacentral:rRNA from 1 species
CAGCACCUCAAGUGGUCAGGAUGAUUAUUGGGCCUAAAGCAUCCGUAGCCGGCGCUGUAAGUUUUCGGUUAAAUCUGUACGCUCAACGUACAGGCUGCCGGGAAUACUGCAGAGCUAGGGAGUGGGAGAGGUAGACGGUACUCGGUAGGAAGGGGUAAAAUCCUUUGAUCUAUUGAUGACCACCUGUGGCGAAGGCGGUCUACCAGAACACGUCCGACGGUGAGGGAUGAAAGCUGGGGGAGCAAACCGGAUUAGAUACCCGCGUAGUCC